rnacentral:lncRNA from 1 species
AUGGAGGGAGUAGGAAUUUGUGUAUGCCUCGCUGGACUUAGUUCGCGGUAAGGCUUCGUUUAUAUGCACACCUCUCGUCAUAACAAGAUUUGGAGCGUCUUUUUUAUUUUGUUUUCGGCGGCCCGGUGAUGGCUUAAGGUGGUCGGGAUGUAUGUGAGACUUGGGAGAUAAGAAUCGGUGGCUAUCUGCUAACAGCCAGAAUGUGAUUUGGUGCAUCAUCACCAGGCCCCCAGGCUCUAAGCGCACCAGCUUCAGUUCCUUGAA